AUGGCCACACAACACCUCGUCCCAAGGUGCCCUCUCAAGAUCCACCGUCACAGCCACGCCAUCAAGCCGCGACGAAGGGACGCCCCGCCACUGCCAUCAUCCCCCAGCACGGGCUUUGCCCAGCCUAGAUCCGAUGGCGGCGGGAGGGGAGGCGGACGUGAGGCGGAGGAGAUUGGGAGGGGCAGCGGGGAUCCGGGAGGUGGAGGAGAGGUCGUAUACCUUUAUGUCAGAGGUGGGUCAAUCGUCCCAUAUCGAAUGGUGCUGGUUUUUUGCUGCAAGAACAGGUGCCUCCACAUAUCCUGCAUUCAUGGCCACAUUGAAUUCUUCAGGCUGGCGCUAGAAGUAGACCAGUCUCUCCUCUCAAAGGUUAAUCACGAGGGCGAGACACCACUUGUCAUUGCCGUGGCACACGGGCAUGCCAAUUUGGCUUCUCUUUUACUCAAACGCUGCAAUGACCUAGGACUGCAAGCCACAAUCUUGCGUCAGGACAAAGAUAAAUCUAAUGCACUGCACCACGCCAUCCGCAAUGGCUACAUGGACCUUGCGAUACAGUUGUUAGAAGCGGCGCCUGCUCUGUCGCACCAUGUAAACAUAUACCGUGAGUCACCCAUGUUCAUGGCUGUAAUGAGAGGUUUUAGAGAUAUUGCCUUGCGACUACUGGAAAUCAAUGAUUCUUCUCAUGCUGGCAGUUUUUGCCGCCAUGCUCUUCAUGCCGUAGCUAAAAAUGGGGAUCAAUUUAUUGCUGCACAAAUUAUGAAGAAACGUCCUCAACUAGCACGAAAAGCCGACUCCAACGAGGAUACUCCGAUAAGGCUUGCCGUCUGUUACAACAAGGUUGGGGUGCUGCGGGAAUUGCUGCAACAUGAUAUUUCAUUAGGGUAUGAAGUAAACAACCAAGGUUUUACUCUCCUUACUAGUGCCGCAACUCGAGGUCAUGUUGGUGUUGCUCGAGAGCUUCUUAACCAUUGUCCAGAUGCUCCUUAUCGCCAUGUACACCAUCAAGAAUUGACAUGCCUUCAUUCAGCUGUACAAAAUGGUCAUACGAAGUUUAUUGAGUUUAUCCUCCAGACACCGCAACUUCAGCGUCUCGUUAAUAUGCAAGACAGCAGCGGAAGAACCGCUCUACAUUACGCAGUCGAGAGGUGCAAUCCCAGAACAGUUGCUGCUUUAUUGUCUUGCAAGGGUAUAGACACAACAAUAUUUGACAUUCAUGGUGAAUCCGCUGCUUCCCUAUUGUCAGGCAUCACCAGCCACGAGAAGAAUUUGGACUGGAAGGAGGUGCAGGUGCUUAUGUUGAAAGCUGAUCCCAAAGAUGAUGACAUCCCUUCAGAUAAUAUUCACAAGGAGGUUGAGCAACAGGAAACUAUUGAAUCGAUAAAGGAGAGGAAGUCAACAACUCAAAGAUACACAACAAACACGUCAUUAGUGGCGAUCCUCCUUGCGAGAAUCACCUUCACCGCUGCUUUCACUUUGCCUGGAGGAUACAGCAGUGAUCCUGGUAGCGAGGGAAAUCCCAUCAUGUCUAAAAAGGCCGCAUUUCAAGCAUUCCUAAUCUUUGACACCUUAGCAAUGUGCUCUGCAUUUGUUGUGUCCGUCAUAUGCCUCAUGGGAAGAUGGGAGGAUGAUAGGUUCACAAGUUAUUACAUCACCGUUACUAAGAGGCUCACUUGGUUUGCGUACAUGGCAACACUUGCGGCUUUUGCAGCUGGUUUAUACACGGUACUAUCUUCUCGUCGCCACUGGAUGGCCAUUGGGAUUUGCCUUUUGGUAGGUUUUUGCCCUUGUCUGACUUGGCUCAUAAGUAAAUGGCCUAUCUUGAAGCUCAAUUAUCGGUUGGGUAGACGUUGGUUCUCCAUGUUGUUUGGAGAUUACAGGGUGGGUCAACCUUCCAGCUCUGCUUUCCGUGACAUGGUCUGA
rnacentral:rRNA from 1 species